rnacentral:lncRNA from 1 species
GUGAAGCCGGAGGUUGCUAAGUGGAAGUGCAGGUGCUGCUGCUUCUUGCACAAACUGCAGUUGUAAUCCAGGAUUCACGGGCCUGUAGGGGCUCAGACUUCAAAUUGAACCGCGCCUCGGCGGCAGCCACAGGUGUAAUACACGAGGCCCAGGUACCAGAAGGUGUCCAGCAGGGCCUUGGCGGCGCCCUAGCAGCUGAGGUCCAGCCGCUGCGCGCCCAGGUUCAUCUCAUUAGUGGACGCCGCGGGCCCGCGAGUUCGGAGCAGCGCGUGUAUCUGUGGGUCUUUGGGGCUGGCCUCGCUAGCCUACCAGCUUCCUUUCGGUGAUGCUCUUUGCUACCGCCAGGCUCCUGACCCCAGCUUGGACAGCAGGCCGCCGAGCGCCCCUGACGCCCGUUACCGAGAUGGCUGCGCAGAAGGAGUGGCUGUGGGGCUGUGAUCUCUCCUAGAACCUCAGAGGCAUGAAGCUAGAAUAUCUUCCCCUUCAAGGAGAAUAAGCCAAGCUAUGGUUGUUGCGGCCUUUGUUGAUGACAUUCAGCAUUGACUUCUUGGGUAAGGUAUUCAGUAGUUAAGAUUCAAUGACUCCAGUGAAAGGUAUGUUUCCAUCGUGAUGUUCUUCUUCUGGACAAUAAGUGAAAAGAGCAUGCUUUCUUGACUUUAAUUCUGUCAUAGCUCUAAUUAAGAACCUCUGUAAUGAUCUGUCUGCAAGCUUGUGAGAAAUUUGAGGACUGGGAACCAGCCUGAAACAUGUCUGUUCCCCUCUGAGUCAACACAGUGCCUGGGAUCUGGUGUCCAGUAGGGAUUUAAAGCAUAUUGAUUGAAUGAGAAAUGAUGACAGGAUCUACAUGGAUCACAAAGGAUAGUUGUUAUUUUACCUGUUAACUAUUUAAUAGCGAAAUUAAAUGAAAUAUGAAUUAACCUAGGACCAGGGAAGGUGGGGUAAGUUGUGUCUUUCACAUCAACCUUCAUAUGUUCCCCAAUUUUUUCUUCCUUCAUGUACCUAGGACACUCUUGUUCAAACACAAAGGUGGUUUUAUUUUGGGUCUAUACUAGCUAGUUCCCUAGAAAGGUCUUAAAUACAAAAUGAAUGGAAUACAAAAUAACCUCCCUCAUUGUUUUUUUUCCCGGACAAAUGACAGGAUGCAUACAGAACUGCUACUUUUGUGAUGUUGCAAGUAAUGGUAUAGAUGUGCACAAAUCAUGGAUGUGGUCCCAGUGAUCCAUGGAAAUGUGAAGUCCAGGAAGGUAUGUGGCCCUUCCUGAGGUGUGUUCUAAGUUGGUCUCCUAGGGUCCUGAAGGGGACUCCUGGAUG